rnacentral:tRNA from 1 species
AAUAGAGUGUCUGAUUAAAGUAGUAAAUUGUAAAUUUAUUUAAGAAUACGAAGUAUUCCUUUAUUA